CCUACGGGUGGCUGCAGUGGGGAAUAUUGCACAAUGGGCGAAAGCCUGAUGCAGCAACGCCGCGUGAGUGAAGAAGGCCUUCGGGUUGUAAAGCUCUGUCUUUUGGGACGAUAAUGACGGUACCAAAGGAGGAAGCCACGGCUAACUACGUGCCAGCAGCCGCGGUAAUACGUAGGUGGCAAGCGUUGUCCGGAUUUACUGGGCGUAAAGGAUGCGUAGGCGGAUAUGUAAGUCAGAUGUGAAAUACCCGGGCUUAACUUGGGUGCUGCAUUUGAAACUGCAUGUCUAGAGUGCAGGAGAGGUAAGUGGAAUUCCUAGUGUAGCGGUGAAAUGCGUAGAGAUUAGGAAGAACACCAGUGGCGAAGGCGACUUACUGGACUGUAACUGACGCUGAGGCAUGAAAGCGUGGGGAGCAAACAGGAUUAGAUACCCCAGUAGUC
rnacentral:rRNA from 1 species